UUUCCUCUCCCACUCUGCUCUCUCCGGUCUGUUCCUUCUUCCUUGCGUUGCUCUUUGGCUCCUCUUAUUUCCUCUCUCGCUCUGCUCUCUCCAGUCUCUUCCUUGCUCUCACACGCAUGACAGCAGGAGGGCGGGAUGGAGCGCUGCUUCGUCCAUCACUGAAUCGGACGCCGCCCGCUCACAUUGGAAGCAGGGGAUGGCCCUGGACAUUGCCGGUUGUUCCUGGUGCACCGAGAGCACACUUGCUAUCUCUUGUGAGGGCUUGUAUGAGGGGGCAUGACUGACUUUCCAAACAUUGCAGUUGCAGAUUGCGUGAUGAUUUUUUUUUGCUCGACUGUUUGAUUGCAGAAGAUGCAGUAAUAAGUUCAGAUUAAACAUGGUCAAGCAAAUUCAUAUCUCAAUUUGAUGAAUGGCAGUAUUUAUUAGUAAAGAAAUUAACAACAAUUAGAGAGUUGGCUGAUGCACCAUGCUACGAACUGGAAUUCCUAUUAUCAUUUCCUCUUAACAUUUUUAGAUUUUUAGUCCCAAAGUUAUAUCUCUACUUUUGGGUAUGCCUCUGUUCAAAUACAUGUUCAUUUCUUU